GACGAACGCUGGCGGCGUGCCUAAUACAUGCAAGUCGAACGCAGUGGGGACGGUUUAGUAACACGUGGGUAACCUCCCAUCAGAGGGGAUAACCCUUGGAAACAGGUGCUAAACCGAUACUGAUGGAUGAACCCGCGGGGCAUUAGCUAGUUGGUGGGGUAACGGCCCACCAAGGCGACGAUGCAUAGCCGGCCUGAGAGGGUGAUCGGCCACACUGGGACUGAGACACGGCCCAGACUCCUACGGGAGGCAGCAGUGGGGAAUAUUCGGCAAUGGACGAAAGUCUGACCGAGCAACGCCGCGUGAGUGAAGAAGGUUUUCGGAUCGUAAAGCUCUGUUGUUAGGGAAGCGGUAUCUAACGAGGAAGCAACGGCUAACUACGUGCCAGCAGCCGCGGUAAUUC
rnacentral:rRNA from 1 species